rnacentral:rRNA from 1 species
UACGUAGGGUGCGAGCGUUGUCCGGAAUUAUUGGGCGUAAAGAGCUUGUAGGCGGUUUGUCGCGUCUGCCGUGAAAAUCCGAGGCUCAACCUCGGACUUGCGGUGGGUACGGGCAGACUAGAGUGUGGUAGGGGAGACUGGAAUUCCUGGUGUAGCGGUGAAAUGCGCAGAUAUCAGGAGGAACACCGAUGGCGAAGGCAGGUCUCUGGGCCACUACUGACGCUGAGAAGCGAAAGCAUGGGGAGCGAACCGG